rnacentral:rRNA from 1 species
GAUGAACGCUAGCGGGAGGCCUAACACAUGCAAGCCGAGCGGUAGAGUUUCUUCGGAAACUUGAGAGCGGCGCACGGGUGCGUAACACGUGUGCAACCUACCUUUAUCUGGGGGAUAGCCUUUCGAAAGGAAGAUUAAUACCCCAUAAUAUAAUGAUUGGCAUCAAUUAUUAUUGAAAACUCCGGUGGAUAGAGAUGGGCACGCGCAAGAUUAGAUAGUUGGUGAGGUAACGGCUCACCAAGUCAAUGAUCUUUAGGGGUCCUGAGAGGGAGAUCCCCCACACUGGUACUGAGACACGGACCAGACUCCUACGGGAGGCAGCAGUGAGGAAUAUUGGACAAUGGGUGAGUGCCUGAUCCAGCCAUCCCGCGUGAAGGAUGACGGUCCUAUGGAUUGUAAACUUCUUUUGUACAGGGAUAAACCUACCCUCGUGAGGGUAGCUGAAGGUACUGUACGAAUAAGCACCGGCUAACUCCGUG